rnacentral:rRNA from 1 species
GACGAACGCUGGCGGCGUGCCUAAUACAUGCAAGUCGAGCGGUCUCUUCGGGGAUAGCGGCGGACGGGUGAGUAACACGUAGGCAACCUGCCUGUAAGACCGGAAUAACUAUCGGAAACGAUAGCUAAGACCGGAUAGCUGGUUUUCUCGCAUGAGAGAAUCAUGAAACACGGGGCAACCUGUGGCUUACAGAUGGGCAUGCGGCGCACUAGCUAGUUGGUAGGGUAACGGCCUACCAAGGCGACGAUGCGUAGCCGACCUGAGAGGGUGACCGGCCACACUGGGACUGAGACACGGCCCAGACUCCUACGGGAGGCAGCAGUAGGGAAUCUUCCGCAAUGGACGCAAGUCUGACGGAGCAACGCCGCGUGAGUGAUGAAGGUCUUCGGAUCGUAAAGCUCUGUUGCCCUAGACGAACAGCAAGGAGAGUAACUGCUCUUUGUGUGACGGUAUAGGAGAAGAAAGCCCCGGCUAACUACGUGCCAGCCGCCGCCGUAA